rnacentral:tRNA from 1 species
GGAGACGUGUCCGAGUGGCUGAAGGAGCACGCUUGGAAAGCGUGUAUGCGGGUAACUGCAUCCAGGGUUCGAAUCCCUGCGUCUCCGCCA